AAGAGUUGCCUUGGUCAUGGUGUCCAUCCAUAACCAGUGAAACCCUAAGUAUCUAGUAGAGGCACUUUUUUGAGAGCUUAAAUCAAAGAAUUCUACCUCAGAAAUCCUUCACACUUAGAAUUUUCGGAUCAUUAAUUUCUUGUCUGCUUGCUUACAUUGUAGCCAUUAAGAAGCUAAAAGUCAUUGAGCUGAGAACUCACUUUGUUGCCCAGGAAUGUGAUUCUCUUGCUUUAGCCUCUCAACUGGAACUACAGUUGUGCAUCAUCACAAUCCAGAUCUAAAUGAAGACGUCUCGGCUACCUCUCCAGCACCAUAUCUGCCUGCCAUGCUUCGUGCCUUUGAAUAUAAUGGACUGAACAGGUUGUUGAGGUGGUACUCAAGGAAUCAAAACACUAAGACUACUACUCCCCACCACAUUUUGAUGAAGGUAGUAAUAAAUUUCAAAUUCUGGGUCUAUUAGGCCUCAGUGAAUAAAUACAGGAGUAUAAAUAUAGUGUUUGAGUUUUGGUAUAAGACCAUUAUAAAGAGAAUUCAAGUAACAAUGUUAGUAUGUGAUAUUUCUAUAGCCUUUAAAGUUUUAAAAUAAUUUCACAUUUUAUUCAAUGCUUGCAACCUCUGAAUAAAGAAUUAAUUGUAUUUCAAUAAGAAAGCUGUCUGAGUGAAUUAAGGAAAACAGGCUAAGACAAGAUGUACUUUUAAGGCAUCUGGGAGGAUACUUAAGCUGAAUAAAAGAAAUCUGAAUCUCAAAUUAACCACUUGCAUUACUUUCUUAUUGCUGCUGUUAAAUAUAGUGGAUUAAAACAAUAGAAAUAUUUUUAUAGUUCUUUAGAAGUCAGGGAUAGGGUGAUAGUGGAAUGUAUUUCAUUCUAGAGGGAGAAUAUAUCUGUUUAGAUUGUGCGAUGAACUGGAUUCCUUUCUGUUUUAGGAAUGAGGUCAUCACUUUUUCUGAUGCUGUAGUCUGAGAGGUGUUUCUAGUUUGUGGAUGCUGCCAUGUUCCUCAGUUUCUCCUUCCUGCCUUCAAAGUUAGCAAAGUGGAUUGAGUCUUCAUAUUGUAUCUCUCUGGUACAGUUCGACAUGGCUGGGAAGGCAUGGUGGUAUCCAGAGGUCUGCAAUAUCAACUACAUCUGCAGAAUAUCUUUUGUUUGCCUUGUAAGGUGACAUCUACUCAUCCUGGAGAUCAGAGUAUGACAUCUUGAUGGGGAUUCAUUAUUCUGAGUAAUAUAAAGCUUUAUUUCAUUAGGUUAUUCACUUUUUAUCAACCCUUUCAAAUGUAAUCUCUACUCCUUUAUUUUUUUCCUCAACAUAGAAAUUUUAUUAAUUAUUUGGUAAUUUCAUACAGUGUACCUAGUGCUUCCCAUUCCUCCCAGGUCCACCCUCCCAACUUUUUACUCCCACAAACACCACCAAGUCCAAUUUGUGUUACUCAUAUGCUCAUUGGAAAUGACUAAACUUCCAGGGCCCAGCCUCUUAAAGAAAACUGGGUCUUUCCUGACUCCCACCCCCAGCCAGAAGCUAUCAACUUUGAAGAACUACACUUCAAUACUUGUAUCAAAGUUUUUAAGGACUCUCUUUAAUAGAUCUCUGUCUGGACUUUAUUUUGGGCAGGGAUUCUCACAGAAGCCUUCAAUAGGUCUCAGUCUUAGGAGUCUGCAGAUGGCAGCACAAGAUAUUAGCAAUGAAGAAUGGUAAUUAUGAUCCAUAUGGUUUUCUAGCAGCAACUCAGAUCACGACACCAGCAUGGCCUACAUGGUAAUACAGACCACAGAAGUUUUUCGAGGAGACUUAAUCCAGAAAAUGAACCAUUCUUCAUCUCCAAUAUCUUGUUGUUCAGAGUCAUGGUGAUUGUACAGUGUGGCAGCAUGUUAGGGGUAGGACCUGCUAGAAAUCCAGGCUGUUGAACUCCAAUCCUGCCCUGGGCCUGGUCAUCCUGCCAGCUCUGGAGUCCCCAAUCUCCCCUCCUCAGUCAGGUAAGCACUUCCGACUGCAGCAGUGGCAGAGGCUCCACUGUGUUGUCUAGUGGCAACACAGGCUUAGCAGGUAGCAAUGGGGACAGGCAGGCCUACUGGUAGCCCCAGUCUCCUAGCUGCCCAAGAACUAGGCCCUAUUUGUUCCUUAUGUGCUCCUUCAUGCAUUGUAUCUCACUUCUAUACUUGCUGCCACGGUGUUUCUAGUUCACUUUCUUUCUAGUGAAACCACUUUUUAAAAGCAUCUUCCUGUAAGACCUUCCCUUUUAUUUUAGUUGUUCGGAGAUAUUGUCAGCUCUGCAGGCUCAUCCUCUGCUGUCAUAUCUCCCCUUGAAGCUUCCAUGGUCUCUCAGGCUCCUUGGACCUGUCCUGAGAUCACACAGGUUCUGGUGGCCAUGACCAUCUUGAAAUCUCUUUCUCUGACUUUUUUUUAAUGGCAUGAGAUAUUAACAAGCAUCUUAAUUGUUAAUUAAGUUAAUGACAAAGCACACUCAUGGCUGCAAAGGGAGAAGACGAGCAUCUGUCUGGUACUUCUCAUGAAUACACGAAUCCCAUGCAUCAGGAUCCCACAUGUACUCAUUUAACUUACUUCUUUAAAGCCCCUAUCUCUAAAUAUGGACAGUUGGAGAUUAGCGCUUUCAAACGGGUAUUUGGGAGCCCAGUUUAGUCCAUAGUUAAGCAUGCUUAUGAUUUUCUCUGUGAAGCACAUGAUGACAAAUGAAAUCAGAAGGCUGAGGUAGGAGAGGGAAGAGUUUGAAAAAGAAUUAGAGAGCAGUUAAACACUCACUAGAGAAAAAGUUAACACUACCAUUUGAAGUUAACUGUAGUCAUUUGUUUAGAAUCAAAUCUGGACAUUUCUGUGAUUUCUUCCAGUUAGGUAAUCUGAUGUUACAGGAAAAAUAAAAAGAGAGGGAAAAAAACAAAAGAAAGAAAAGAUAUCUGAAUCCAACCAGGAACUGAACUUAGACGAAUAAGAAUAAAAAGAAGCAUAAUGUUUUAUAGGACAAGUGAUCGUGAGUAGCAAUGAAGAAGAUGAUAUAAAUAAUAGUUUUAGUUGUCUAAUUACACAUCCAAAAAUUACAACCUUAAAAGAAAUACUUUGCCCACAGUUUUGUAGAGCAAUGUGAGAAGUGCUCAGAGAGGUUUCUCUCUGCUGCAUUGCUGUCAUUUAGAGCAGCCUGUACUUUAGAAUCAGUUGUCUUUACAGCCUAUGAGGAAUGGACUUUUCAAUGUUAUGGAGGUGGGGGACUAUCUUACAUGGCAUCUGACCAUCUAAGAGCUCCCAAAGGACAUGGAAGAUAACAGGAUAAUGAAAGGAAAAAUCUGGAAUUGUCGGUGUUGCACUUGUAACAUUCUACUGAUAUAAUCAGUCACAGAGCCUACCCAGAUUCAAGGAGGUAAAACAACUCUAUCUCUAGAUAGAAGAACUGUAAAGUCACAUUAUAGAAGAACAAAGAGGAGUGUAACAACAGAAAACAACCCUAAAAGCCCACAAUACAGUGAAAGAGGGAGCUAUAGAUAUAAUAAUGACAAUGAUAUAAAAAGUACACAAGUGCUGUCAUGGUGUUACAAAACAAAGCCCAGGCCAGGUAUAUCUUUCUACUCAAAGAAUUCUACAGGCAGAGGCAGGAGGAUGGAUGGUAAAGUUUGAGAUUAUCUUGGGUUACAUAGUAAGAUCCUGUCUCAAAACCAAUAUCCACAAAACCCAAAGCCCUGUAUAAAAUAGACAAGAAACAAUUUUGACUUAAAAACAAAAAUAAAAUCUCAUUACAGCCAAAGUGUGUGUGUGUGU
rnacentral:sRNA from 1 species